GCGGAUGUAGUUCAAUGGUAGAACUUCAGCCUUCCAAGCUGACUAUGCGAGUUCGAUUCUCGUCAUCCGCUCCA
rnacentral:tRNA from 1 species